rnacentral:lncRNA from 1 species
CACCACCUAUUCCUUUCCUAACCAUUUCCCAAGAAAACAUCUUCACCUCACUUUCCAAAACUAUAACUAUUAGUAGUCACCCUAGACUCUCCCCCACUUAUGGCCUUCUAUAUUCCCCAUUUCAACACAUCACCAUACUUCCAAACCACUACCAUCCUAACAUUAGAAGAGUCACUUAAGAAACCGAAUUACAAAAGUCAUCCAUGCCCCCA